CGACUAACCAUCUAAAUCAGCUGCUGUGUACACUUUUUGUUCUGUGUAACUUGUUGUUUACUGGCAGUUGAGACAAUGGAAAUGCUACAGUAUGUUGUUCUGCUGAUGAUUAUUUUACGUGUUAGCGGUCAGUCUUUGACCUCCUCAGAUUCUGUGGUGAAAAGACUAGGAGAAUCAGUCACUCUGUCCUGCAGUGUGUCUGGAUUCUCAAUGAGCAGCAACUACAUGCACUGGAUCCGUCAGAAACCAGGGAGAGGACUGGAGUGGAUCGGCCGUAUUGACACUGGCACUAGCACUAUUUUUGCUCAGUCUCUUCAAGGCCAGUUCUCAAUCACCAAAGACACCAGCAAAAACAUGCUGUAUUUAGAGGUGAAAAGCCUGAAGACUGAAGACACAGCUGUUUAUUACUGUGCAAGAGAGUCACAGUUACACAAAAGACUGCAGGGCUGAACAAAAACUAUUCAUGUGAUCUCUGAUGGCCCAAGAGCACUUUUCCCUCAAAUUCAACAAACUACUUCAAUGAUUUUUACUUUAUUAAAAUAUGGUUUUAAAUCUGUAACAUCUUCU